GCUCCUCGGGCCUGGCCGCCCUCAGCGCCCCGCACCGCAUUGCCAGGGCCCUGCCUGGGCGCGGAGACCGGGGGCUGCGAGGGACCCCCGACAUUUCCCGCCUGAAACGCCUCGUCCGGUCUUUCAGCCCAAAUCCACGGUCCCGACGCCACAGGGCGCGCGACACGGCCCUGUGCCCCCAGCCGAGGAACGAGCCUUUUUAUACUAAACUGCAGUGGUCUCUUGGAUGGAGGGAAGCAGAGAAGAUACCUAGGAUGCCAUACAAAUGCAGGAGGGAAGGGAAAUUUUGUGCAGGAACGUCAAGCAAACCCUAAGACCUACAAAACGCACAGCGGACUGUAAGAGGAUUUCUUUCGUUUGAGGAAUCUGUUGAUAUCACAUUGACACAUCCCUGGAAGGCAGUCACCCUGAGGAAGAAGCACUGCAGUUAUUGAACUACAUUUAGCAGUGAUACAAGACAGCAAAAGGAAUCUGCAGGGUGAAUUCAAGUAGAGAAGGACUUCACUCAGUCAAAGUCUACCCAGGACUCCACAGUUUACACCAAAGGAGAUGUCAGAAAGCUUUAGUAACUAAAUAUCUUUGC